rnacentral:rRNA from 1 species
GGAUGCGAUCAUACCAGCACUAAAGCAUCGGAUCCCAUCAGAACUCCAAAGUUAAGCGUGCUUGGGCGAGAGUAGUACUAGGAUGGGUGACCUCCUGGGAAGUCCUCGUGUUGCAUUCC